rnacentral:tRNA from 1 species
GCCUGGGUGGCUUAGUUGGUUAAGCAUUUGUCUUCACCUCAGGUCACAAUCUCCUGGUCCGUGGGUUAGAGCCCCACAUCUGGCU